rnacentral:rRNA from 1 species
GACGAACGCUGGCGGCGUGCUUAACACAUGCAAGUCGAACGAGAGCGUAGAGAAAGCUUGCUUUUUCUACAAUCUAGUGGCAAACGGGUGAGUAACGCGUAAACAACCUGCCCUACGGAUGGGGACAACAGCUGGAAACGGCUGCUAAUACCGAAUACGUUCCGAAAGUCGCAUGACUAUCGGAAGAAAGGAUGGCCUCUAUUUAUAAGCUAUCGCCGGAGGAGGGGUUUGCGUCUGAUUAGCUAGUUGGAGGGGUAACGGCCCACCAAGGCGACGAUCAGUAGCCGGUCUGAGAGGAUGAACGGCCACAUUGGAACUGAGACACGGUCCAGACGCCUACGGGAGGCAGCAGUGGGGAAUCUUCCGCAAUGGGCGAAAGCCUGACGGAGCAACGCCGCGUGAGUGAAGACGGCCUUCGGGUUGUAAAGCUCUGUUAUACGGGACGAAUAAUCUUGUGGUUAAUACCCAUGAGAAGUGACGGUACCGUAAGAGAAAGCCACGGCUAACUACGUG